rnacentral:rRNA from 1 species
CAAACCAAAGCUGGCGACCGGCGCACGGGUGAGUAACACGUAUCCAACCUGCCUCAUACUCGGGGAUAGCCUUUCGAAAGAAAGAUUAAUAUCCGAUAGCAUAUAUUUCCCGCAUGGGUUUUAUAUUAAAGAAAUUCGGUAUGAGAUGGGGAUGCGUUCCAUUAGUUUGUUGGGGGGGUAACGGCCCACCAAGGCUACGAUGGAUUGGGGUUCUGAGAGGAAGGUCCCCCACAUUGGAACUGAGACACGGUCCAA